rnacentral:rRNA from 1 species
GACGAACGCUGGCGGCGUGCUUAACACAUGCAAGUCGAACGGAAAGGCCCUGCUUUUGUGGGGUGCUCGAGUGGCGAACGGGUGAGUAACACGUGAGUAACCUGCCCUUGACUUUGGGAUAAAUUCAGGAAACUGGGGCUAAUACCGGAUAGGAGCUCCUGCUGCAUGGGGGGGGUUGGAAAGUUUCGGCGGUUGGGGAUGGACUCGCGGCUUAUCCGCUUGUUGGUGGGGUAGUGGCUUACCACGGCUUUGACGGGUAGCCGGCCUGAGAGGGUGACCGGCCACAUUGGGACUGAGAUACGGCCCAGACUCCUACGGGAGGCAGCAGUGGGGAAUAUUGCACAAUGGGCGGAAGCCUGAUGCAGCAACGCCGCGUGCGGGAUGACGGCCUUCGGGUUGUAAACCGCUUUCGCCUGUGACGAAGCGUGAGUGACGGUAAUGGGUAAAGAAGCACCGGCUAACUACGUG